rnacentral:rRNA from 1 species
AUUGAACGCUGGCGGCAUGCCUUACACAUGCAAGUCGAACGGCAGCACGGGUGCUUGCACCUGGUGGCGAGUGGCGAACGGGUGAGUAAUACAUCGGAACGUACCUUAUCGUGGGGGAUAACGCAGCGAAGGCUGUGCUAAUACCGCAUACGCCCUGAGGGGGAAAGCGGGGGAUCGCAAGACCUCGCGCGAUUAGAGCGGCCGAUGCCUGAUUAGCUUGUUGGUGGGGUAAAAGCCCACCAAGGCGACGAUCAGUAGCUGGUCUGAGAGGACGAUCAGCCAAAGUGGGAAUGAGACAAGGCCCAGACUCCUACGGGAGGCAGCAGUGGGGAAUUUUGGACAAUGGGGGCAACCCUGAUCCAGCAAUGCCGCGUGAGUGAAGAAGGCCUUCGGGUUGUAAAGCUCUUUUGUCAGGGAAGAAACACCGGCUCUAACACAGUCUGGGAAUGACGGUACCUGAAGAAUAAGCACCGGCUAACUACGUGCCAGCCGCCGCCGUAA